rnacentral:rRNA from 1 species
AUUGAAUGCUGGCGGCAGGCCUAACACAUGCAAGUCGAGCGGAGCGGCGGACGGGUGAGUAAUGCCUAGGAAUCUGCCUGGUAGUGGGGGAUAACGUCAGGAAACGGGCGCUAAUACCGCAUACUCUCAGAUGAGCCUAGGUCGGAUUAGCUAGUUGGUGGGGUAAAGGCCUACCAGGGCGACGACCCGUAACUGGUCUGAGAGGAUGAUCAGUCACACUGGAACUGAGACACGGUCCAGACUCCGACGGGAGGAAGCAGUGGGGAAUAUUGGACAAUGGGCGAAAGCCUGAUCCAGCCAUGCCGCGUGUGUGAAGAAGGUCUUCGGAUUGUAAAGCACUUUAAGGUGGGAGGCGUUACCCGCAGAAGAAGCACCGGCUAACUCCGUGCCAGCAGCCGCGGUAAUUC